AAGUCGUAACAAGGUUUCCGUAGGUGAACCUGCGGAAGGAUCAUUAACAAAUUGUUAAAACAACAUCCAACCUUUUGUGCAAUUGAUAACCCGUCUCUGGCAGAUUUUGUUUUCUUUUUUGUGUCCUUUGGAUUGCAAAAAGGGGAGCAUGCUGCCGCUUGUAAUAUCAAUGAUACGCCUUUGUGUGUUUCUAAAUUUUUGUUUUGCAUCCUUGAUAAAAUCAUGUGACAUAUUAAUUUGUUACAACUUUUGGCAAUGGAUCUCUUGGUUCUC
rnacentral:misc_RNA from 1 species